AGAGUUUGAUCCUGGCUCAGAAUCAACGCUGGCGGCGCGCUUAACACAUGCAAGUCGCACGAGAAAGGGGAGCAAUCCCUGAGUAAAGUGGCGUACGGGUGAGUAACACGUGGAUCAUCUACCUUUUAGUGGGGAAUACCCCCGGGAAACUGGGGACAAUACCGCAUAAGCUCGUAAGAGGAAAGCCGAAAGGCGCUGAAAGAGGAGUCCGCGGCUGAUUAUGUUUGAUGGCGGGGUAAAGGCCCACCAUGGCGAAGAUCGGUAGCCGGCCUGAGAGGGCACACGGCCACACUGGCACUGAAACACGGGCCAGACUCCUACGGGAGGCAGCAGUGGGGAAUCUUGCACAAUGGAGGAAACUCUGAUGCAGCGACGCCGCGUGAGCGAUGAAGCCCUUCGGGGUGUAAAGCUCUUUCGACGGGAACGAUGAUGACGGUACCCGAAGAAGAAGCUGCGGCUAACUACGUGCCAGCAGCCGCGGUAAUACGUAGGCAGCAAGCGUUGUUCGGAAUUACUGGGCGUAAAGAGUGUGUAGGCGGUGCUCUAAGUCUGUCGUGAAAUCUCCCGGCUCAACUGGGAGGGUGCGGCGGAAACUGGAGUGCUUGAGUAUGGGAGAGGAAAGCGGAAUUCCUGGUGUAGCGGUGAAAUGCGUAGAUAUCAGGAGGAACACCUGCGGUGUAGACAGCUUUCUGGACCAUCACUGACGCUGAGACACGAAAGCGUGGGUAGCAAACAGGAUUAGAUACCCUGGUAGUCCACGCCCUAAACGAUGCAUACUUGGUGUGAGCCAUUCAUUUGGUUCGUGCCGGAGCUAACGCGUUAA
rnacentral:rRNA from 1 species